rnacentral:rRNA from 1 species
AGGACGAACGCUGGCGGCGUGCCUAACACAUGCAAGUCGAACGAAGCAUUGGAGUGAUCCUCGGGUGACGCACCUUAUGACUUAGUGGCGGACGGGUGAGUAACACGUGAGCAACCUGCCUCUCAGAGUGGAAUAACAGUUGGAAACGGCUGCUAAUACCACAUAACGUUUUUGUGCCGCAUGACACUUCAACCAAAGAUUUAUCGCUGAGAGAUGGGCUCGCGUCCGAUUAGGUAGAUGGUGGGGUAACGGCCUACCAUGCCGACGAUCGGUAGCCGGACUGAGAGGUUGAUCGGCCACAUUGGGACUGAGACACGGCCCAGACUCCUACGGGAGGCAGCAGUGGGGGAUAUUGCACAAUGGGCGCAAGCCUGAUGCAGCAACGCCGCGUGCGGGAAGACGGCCUUCGGGUUGUAAACCGCUGUCCUUGGGGAAGAAACAAAUGACGGUACCCAAGAAGGAAGCCACGGCUAACUACGUGCCAGCCGCUGC